UUUGUUUCACCUUUGUCUCACCUUCUCCUUCUUAGAGAAUGGCAAGUCAAGAUUGUCAGGGUUCUUCUUUUUUUCGCCAGAGACGAUUAACAACGGCCAAUCAUUGCUGGAAUCUGCCGUUCAUUUCAAUUCGACUGUAGUUCUUCUCACCGACAAUAGGAAACCGAACAUCGGUGAAUCUGCACUCUAAAUAGUUGAGUUUGUAUCCGUAUAAUUCAUCAUCUCAUGCUUUACAUAUCGUUGUUACUCGCCUUCUUGGUUUUGGAUUAGAGCUCUCUGGCUUUAACGAAUCCAUGAACGUUUUCUGCGAGCAGCUUGGAGUGAAAGCUCAUGGUCAUGGGACGGCAAGUAGGAUGGUUUUCCUCCCGGUGGAGGAGAUGGUGACUGUUUUGACACCACCGUAGUGGGAUCGAGGUAGGAGAGAGUGGAGUCGGGGAACUUGUCUUCGAUGGAAAUGACAGAGGAGAUGGUAGUUGAGAAGGAUCAGGUGGUUGAGUUAGAGCUGCGGCGGCUGCUGAAUUGAGGGAGAGAUUAGGAGAAAGAGCGUGUGAAGGAGAGAGGCCAUGAAUGUGGAGGUUGUGAAAAGGAAUGGUUUGACUGAAUGUGAUGUUACAUAUUCCGGUGGAGCAAAACAGUCGUGUCUUAUCUUGGUCUCCAAGUGCGUGAAUCCAAAUGUUGUCUUCUCAAGAUCUAUCACCCAAUGCCUCUCCCAUUACUUGAAACUGCGAGUAUAACUAUAAUCGAAGGCUGAUAGGUGUGGCGAGACCAUUGUGACAAAGCUUCUGCAUUUAUGGGAAGCACGGAAUGUGAAUAAGGGUGGUGAUCUCAUUGGUGUUUAUAUUACUUUGGUGGAUGAGAUGAUAUAUUUUUAUUAACUUAAACUCUGAUUUUUUAUACCACAAAUAAAUCUUAUUAUUUCUAUUAACUCGAUGGAGUAAAUCUUAUUGUUUCUAUUAGGUUCACGGAGAAGACCAGUUUUGUUGAGAUUGCAAAGAACAUUAACCAUAUCCCUACGUUGAAUCUCUCUUUGUAGUUACAACAUGGUCAACUCUGAGGACAAGACAAACAAGAGCAAAAGUGUCUUCUUGGCAUGUUCUUUGAGUCUUUAAGAUUUCUCACACACACAUCAGGAAUAGUAGAUACUCAGGGUCUCAUCGCCCUCAUGAUGAUGACACCAGGCGGGAGAAGACAUAAAGCCAGCUACAGUUUUUAAAACGGUGAAGAACUUGAAAUGUUGAAAUUCCAUGUGUACUUCAGCAAAAUACCUUCUCAUUGCGGUGUUCUUGCUCAAGAAACCCAACAGCAUAAGAUGCCUGGAUGUUGGACUCCACAGAGGGCAUGGAUAAUCGUAAAAGAACUCGGAAGUAAGUUUUUAAAACAGUGUCUUUGUUUCUCUUUUGGUGUAUAUUUCAUAACUAAAAAUGAUUUGAUUGCUGAAUUUGAUGACAAGUGUAUGUAUGUAAUGAUAAUUUCUCUGUGUGUUUCUUGAUGUAUUUGAAUAGAAU